CUCUAGAAGUAGGUAAGUAGAGAAACAGAGAAGUUCAAGUUCUCAUAAUGAACAGCAAAGUUCUUUAGCAAACAGCAGAACCUGAGUACAGCAAUCUGACUCCAGAACCUCAGUUCCUAACUGUUCCACCAUGCUGGCUUCUAUGGGUACGCAUUAGAUUGUUCCUUCCGUGAUCUCACUCGGGGGUGAGCUAUUCAGUCGGAGAAAUAGAGCUCCGGGGACAGCAACCUGAAAUCAAUCAAAAGCAUUGUGAGAACAAGAGAUUUCGAAGCAACCGGCCAGGUCUCCAGGAAGUCACUCAGGCAGGAGCUGGGGAACUGUACAAAAUGGCGACAGGGGUGGAGCAAGAGGAUCUGUGAAGGACGUGAAGCUUUGACCAGGCUGUGCGGCAGGCUGUAUUAUGAUUGGCUGGAGGCACUGUUCUGCUGCCUUCUCUGUGUCCUGUGACAUCACCUACGUGUCUCACCGUUAGCAGACUCUCUCAACCCCAGGUAAGUAGAGCUGCUGGUUGGCCAUAGCCUAGCCUCAGGAGGGUAGCUCUGAGGAGCAGCCCAUGACAGAAUUCCACUAAGGCGGAGAAAAAUUCGAACAGUACUCUUGGUGGCACUGGAGGCCCUCGGCAGCUGGUGAAAUAUCUGAGCCUUUCUUUCUGUCUAGAUCCAGGAACAGGAGGAGCCACACCCAACAGCUAUAAAGGCAGGAAGCAUCCACAAGACUGAAGCACAAAAACAUGAAAACCAAGUGUGUGUGCACAACGUUCCAACUAACCGUCAUGCAGAAGUCUGUUUCACACACAUCAGAUGGUUUGUUGCAAAAGAACCUAUCCUACAAGCGGGGAGCAGUUGCACUGCCUAAGCGUUUCACUGGAGCAGAAUCAAAGGGUGGAAACGACUAACCUCCUGAGGUCUGCAGCUGCGGAACGGAACAGUCCAUGACCCCAUCCCCACCCCACCCCAGGGCUCUGUGUGGUCAAUCCCAUCCUUUCCCUCCCUCCAAUGCUUGUUUCAGUAUUAAUCUCCCAGAAAGCAAAACUGAAACUUUGUUCUGCUCCCAGUAUGAUUAAGCAUAUCACAUGCUACAGGAAGCAACAGAAUCAAGCAAUAAAAUAAAGCUUUCUUAGAAGAACU
rnacentral:lncRNA from 1 species